rnacentral:SRP_RNA from 1 species
GCUUUAACUCCAGACAAAGGCUUAAGUUGCAAACUCCGCUAGGUCGGGAACGAAGCAACGGUAAGUAACUGGUCUUGUGUUAGCUGUUUAAGGCCG